GACGUAGGGCGCGAGCGUUGUCCGGAUUUAUUGGGCGUAAAGAGCUCGUAGGCGGCUUGUUGCGUCAGCUGUGAAAACCCGCAGCUCAACUGUGGGCUUGCAGCUGAUACGGGCAGGCUUGAGUUCGGUAGGGGAGACUGGAAUUCCCGGUGUAGAGGUGAAAUUCGUAGAUAUCGGGAGGAACACCAGUGGCGAAGGCGGCGAUCUGGGAAGAUACUGACGCUGAGGUGCGAAAGCGUGGGGAGCAAACAGG
rnacentral:rRNA from 1 species